CAGGACACACAGUUAAAUUUGAGUUUCAAAUAAACAAUUAAGAGUUUUGAGUAUUAAUAUAUUCCAAAUAUUUCAUGGGACAUACUUAUGCUAAAAAAUUAUUUGUUCUCUAUCUGAAAUUCAAAUUUAACUGCAUUUCCUAUA
rnacentral:miRNA from 1 species